rnacentral:tRNA from 1 species
GCGGACGUAGCCAAGUGGAUCAAGGCAGUGGAUUGUGAAU